GAGCGGCCGCCGCUGUGCGCCGGAAGUGUAGCGGAGUCCCCGUGGCCGCCAGAGGGACGGACCGGGCGCCACUUCCUCCCGCCGCCGUGUGUCGCUCGGACUCCGCGUCCCGCCGCCAUCUUGAGGCGGGGCCACGGUCGGAACGGCCGAAGCUUUCUCGGUAGCGAGGUGGAGGAGGUGCCGGCGCCAGGUGGGGACGGUCCGGCCGCCAACGCGUGGCAGAGGCCGCAGGCGCCUCCCGACGGGGCCGGUCCGGCCCGGGAGCGGCUCUCGGCUUCGCCCGAGCGCAUGUGUGGAGAUGCGGUGUUCGCCUCCCUCCUGACGCUGCCGCCGAAGUGAGGCGUGCCCGUGGUGGUCUCACCUCUGGUGACAGUGUUGUGUAUUUCCUGCUGCAGUCAUUCACUGGAGCAUAUCCUCUGAAAAAGUACAGCUGCAGUGUUGAACCCAGUAAGCUGUUGAAGAGGAACAGAACCCUCCACCUCCUUACACUCUCCAGCCCCAGGAUGUACUUCACUUGGAGAUAAACAUGGUCCAAACAGACAGCAAACUGGUCAGAGGACUGUAAUGAUGGAAUAGGACUGAGUAAAGAUGUCCAGCAUAACCUUAAUAGAAAUGUGACUGUCCAGGUUUUGCUUAACAUAGAAAUAGUCAUGUGGAAUGAAGAAUGAAAGAACAUAGAAACAUAGAAUCCUUCUGGUUGGAAAAGACCUUUAAGAUCAGCAAGUCCAACUGUCAACCUAGCACUGCCAAGGACACCUCUAAAUCACGUUCCUAAGAAGAUCGUCUGUGCAUCUUUUAAACCUCUCCAGGGAUGGUGACUCCACCACCUCCCUGGGCAGCCUGUUCCAAUGCCUUACAACCUUUUCCGUGAAUAUUUUUUUCCUCAUAUCCAAUCUAAACCUCCCCUAGCACAACCUGGGUCCAUUUCCUCUUGUCCUGUCACUUGCUACCUGGGAGAAGAGACCAACCCCCUCCAUGCUACAACCUCCUUUCAGGUAGUUGUAGAGAGUGAUAAGGUCUCUCCUCAGCCUCAUUUGUAUAUUAAUCAGCUGGGUUACUCUUGCUGGCAGUACAAAGGUCAUGGAGAGUGAGAAGGAUCACAGCAGUGGAAAAUGUAGAUAGCAAAUAACAAGUCUUUAGAAAAUAAUCCGUAUAAGGAAGAGUAUUUUAAUUGUGAAGAACACACUUGGAAGCCAACAAUACAGAGAAAGCCACAGUUUAAUCAUAGCAGAGAGUAAGUUGUAUCAGGGUAUCCAUAUUUUGUGCAGGCUUACAAUUCUGUGUCAGGUCAGAGCACAGGACAGCCAGGGCAUUCCUCUGGCUUAUUUACUCAUGUGCAGGCAUUUUGCAGUAAUUUUUAUUCUGUCAUGGGAUCAUGGCAUUAUGCAGGCUGGAGGUUUGAAUGUGAUCAGGUCCAACACACCCCACCAGCCCACCCACAAAGUGGGGACAACUUAGACUGAUUGUGACCUCAUUCCUGGAGUUUCGAGUAUGUCCACAUCUUUUCCAAUGUUUGGCUUUUCUGGGGUCCCAGCUUCUAUCUGUUGCCUGUCAUCCUGCCACUGUCCUACACCCAGGAAGAGUCUCGAGCUUGUCUUCUCUGCAUCCUCUGAUCUAGACAGCAGUUGUGGACAUCAGUAAGAUCUCCCACCAGCCUUCUUUCUGCAGACUGAACAAGCCCAGUUCCCUCAGCUUCACAUUAUACAUUAUGUGCUCUAGCCCUUGUGACCAUCUUGGUGACCCUGUCCAGGACUUGCUGCAGUUUGUUAUAGUCUUUCCUGUUCUGGCGAGCCCCAGAUUGGACACAAUACUCCAAAUGAAGUCACACAAGUACUAAACAGAAGGGAAUGAUCAUUUCCCUCAAGCUAUUGGCUACACUCAGCUGUAACACAGCUGAGUAUGGGCGUACUGUUGACCCAUGUUUGAGUUGCUGUCCACCAGGACCCUAAACCCUUGCAAAGCUGCUUUCCACCCAGUUGUCCCCAGCUUGUGCUGUUGCAUGGAGUUGUUCCAUUCCAGACUUUGCCUCUGUUGAACUUAGUGGGAUUUCUGUCAGCCCAUUUCUUCAGUCCAGUGCCCUCUGAAGAGCAGCUCUACUCCUUCUUAUUUAUCCCUAGCAAUGGAUUGGCUGACUGAAAUGCACUCCAUCACCCAGGUCAUUGUUAAAGGUAUUAAAACAGUGUCAUCAGCUCCAGUAUCAGCCCCUCGGGGGAGCUACUAGUAGAUGGCUGCCGGCUGGACUUCCUACCGCUGCCCAUCAGCAGUUUGCAAGUCAGCAGAAGAAAAGCAAGUUGAAGCUAUAAUCUGAGCACAUUUGGCCCACAGUCGAAUUUUGUGUUGAUCUGAGUGUUUUGGAGAGCUAAUAGUGAAGUCUUACCAGUUCUACUUGUUUGCCUUUGAUGUGAGAUCAGCAGAAGUCUCUUUCCCUCACCCAGAAUUAAUGCUAUUAACCACCAUUUAGAAAGCUGGUAGCAAAAUGUUAGGGAACGUACCCAGCAUAGAUGAGGAAGAAACAGCAGUUGUGUGGAAGCUCCAACCUACAGUUCUCCUGAGCAAGAAACAAGAAUGCAUCCUGCUGCCGGUUUCCCAGAGUUGCUAAUUCACCAUCUAGCUCUCAGUUAGAAUCACAGAAUGUCCUUAUUUGGAAGAGACCCACACAGAUCAUCGAGUCCAGCUCCUGUCCCUGCACAGGACACCCCACAGUUCACACUGUGUGUCUGAGGGUGUUGUCCAGUCUCUUCUUGAACACCGUCAGGCUUGGGGCCGUGACACCUCCCUGGGGAGCCUGUUCCAGUGUCCAGCACCCUCUGGGUGAAGAAGCUUUUCCAAAAGUCCAACCUGAACCUCCCCUGGCACAUAAACCUGCCAUUCCCUCGGGUUCUGUCAUUGGUCACUAAAGAAAAGAGUUCGGCACCUGCCCCUCCUCCUCCUCCUGAGGGGAAGCUGUAGCCACCAUGAGGUCUCCCUUCAGUCUCCUCUUCUCCAGGCUGAACAAACCAAGUGACUGUAGCCACUCCUUGUACAGCUUCCUCUCCAAACACUUCACCAACUUUGUAGCCUUCUUCUGGACACUCUCCAGUACCUUUAUAUUAAGUAACUUCCAAUUGUGAUUUUUAAAGCCUGUAACUGAUUAUGGCCUACCUAACCAGUCACAGCUCUUCAGAUAUGAUUCACUGAAAACCUUCUUGAGGGACUUUACACCAGGCUGGUGUUGUACAGUAGGCAUCACCUGAGGUUUCUGAUGAGGGAUAUUUCGUUAGAGGAGUUCCUACCACAUGAAAAUUAAACUGACAUAUGUUUUCUCAAUGUUUUCUCAGAGUUUACACUGCACAAGUGUUAUAAACUAAACUAGCAUUGCUCAGGGUGCUGCAAUGGGCUCCAGAGUGCCAGUGUGGACGCUACUGCAUGUCCUCAACAUACCCAGACCUACAGUAGCAGUGGGCACCUCUGUGGUGUCCUUUCCCUGCCCACACAAACCUGAAACAUUUUCUGCUGAAACUACUCUCUGCUCAACAGUAUCAGAGGCAGCACAUUCAUCAGAAUAUGUUUUGGCUUUUUUUUUUUUCCUGAGAACUAGUAUUUUGAAUGUUGUUACUGUGAAAAACUGAAUGUUUCAGUAUGCGACAAACCAGCAAUGGGGCUGUUAGCAUCUAUCUCUUCUUUCCACCAAGCUGCUCACCACAUAGAAUAGUGGUGAGCACAGCGAAGACCUUAGGGUGGUAAUGUGUCUGAAGGCACUUUGAUGAGAUAGCUGGAGCCUGGUCCCCAUUACCAGGAGUAAAGCCGAAAGCUGCAGGACAAGACUGGGACAGGCCACGCUCUGUAGGUUUUUCUUGGAUGCAGAAUAUCAGCAAACAGGUUUGCCUAUGGAUUUUGGGGCCAGCUUGCUGCAGCCCAAGGCCAUAGGCUAGAAAUGAUGCCCAAGGAAAACAGCUAAGUACCUGGUGAAUUUUCCAGGAGUUAAAAAGUCUGAGGGUUUGGGGUAACAUAGUGGAGAACUUUGUUUGCAAACCAGUCCCGGAGAGAAGAGACAGGUCCCAUGCAGAAACACCACUGGGUUCUUGAUGACAGGUCAAGUGAUAGACUACAGAGACUGAAUGCACGUGCAGCUGCCUGCUCCAGUUAACUGUUGAAUUAACCAUGGUGUCCAGCAGUGGCUGAAGAACUAACGAGCACUUCACAGCACCUGCCCUCAGACUGGCAGAUUUUGGCUGCUGGAACAGUCACUGGAGAGAAAUGCUUCUGUGGAUGAAAAUUAGGUGCUUGUAGGAGACUUCCUAAGUAUGGCCAUAACUGCACAUGCAGGCUAGAAUUAUAGAUUUGUGCUUUUUGUGUUACUGAGGUAGUGCUUUUCUUAUCAGCGAGCAAGAAAGAAAGGGAAGUGUUCCCUGCAAAAGAACAUACCGAGGUGGUUGUGUUGGGUGCAUCCCAGUAAAGCUGCAUGAGGACUAGCUUCUGCCAUUGCAGCCAGUCAUCUAAGGAGACAUUAGGUAUCAGGUAGUGUUUUAUUACACAAGUUAUUUAUACAGAGGUGCCUUUCUGUCAGAAUGGCAGCCUUUAUCCCCAUUAGUUGCUACCAUCAGUAGCAAGAUCACUUCCUCCCAAACUGAGGCAACGGUGGUGGCACUUUGAUGUCUUGGCCUCUUUCCAGUUUCUUCUCACAGUCAACAAGGUAAUUGACACCAUCAAUGACGAUCUGGACUAGCUCUACCUACAACAAGAAAAAGAAAAUAGUGGUAAUAGAAGCUUUGACUAGUGCUAGAUGAAGGGAAAAUUGGCUUGUACUGAAAUGACAGCAGUUAGAGCUCUAAAUAAGGAGGGUCAAAGCAGAGAGGUCACACACCCUGUGCACAGGGAGUGUAGGUCCUGCUGGUCCAGUGAAAACCCAUAGUAAUUCGCUUUUUGUAUUUGGCUGGAGUUUGAUCUGCCAACAACAUAAAUUUUCAAAUAGGCCCCUAAAGUUAUUUCCACCAAGUUCUACUCCUUCUCAUAUUCCUGUAGGAAGAAACCAAACCAAAGGAAGUGCUUAAAUAAAAUGCUUAAGCAUGAGGUGGGAGACCUACUCCAAAUGUGACCAGCAUGAGGGUGCAGGAUCCUCCCCAGAUGUUUGCUGAGAAGUAAUACCUGGCACAUCUCAUGGUGCCUUUCUGUAGGGCUCCCCACACUCAUGUAGGAGGAUGAAGAAACAAAACCAGCAGUGCUGUGAGUGCUCAGCAUCACUGGGCAGUUCUCGGUUAAGCAGUAAAUGCUUACUCUGUCUUUUGAGCUCCCAAGCCUGUGCCACCCCUGCACUUGGAGGAGCAUUUAUACGAGCACAGAGCCAGAUGGAAACUAACUGGGAUGGUGAUGCAAGGAGAGGAAGGCAGGGGUUCCUUGCCCCAAAUUCACAGCAGCUCGGAAUGCUGCUGGAGGCACGGGAUCGGAGUCCUUCGCAGGGCUGGGACUGGAAGGGUGGCAGGACUACCUGUUCAGCCACAUCCUUUAGAGUGCCUGAGAAAGCUCAUCAAACCAGUCUUGUACUUCUUCUCAGGGAUGGCUCAGGGCCCUAUGUUCCCCUGCAGAUGACCAUGAACCUGCUGCAAUUAUUUGCCAUCUGUGGGGAAACACGUCCUACUUAUGCUGCCAGGCAUGCUGGCUUUGCUGGGGCGGUUUUGCCAAGCCCAGGACCCACAUCUCUGAAGCAGAGACUCCCAUCCUAAACUCUUGCUGGCUCUACAUCAUCAAUCAUUCCUUUGUUUUCGGCUCUUGGUUUACAUUGGCAGGGGAGGGAUUAGCUCCAGGCCCAGAGCAGCACCAAGAUUUGUAGUUUUAUGUGGCAGGGGUUAGUGAUGUCUUUGUAACCUUUUCUAAAAUUACUGAACAAUACAAGGUGCCUUGUUCCCAGCAGACUUUCUCCACAGGUGGUGACAUACGAGGACCACAGGCCCUGUGGUGUUGCUAGCCAGCAAGCUACAGCACUGGUUUUUCUUAAUCUUCAGGAAACAGUUAAUUAGCAACAUUUAAUGACUGGUUUGUUAAAACUGAAUUCAAACACUAAAUCCCAUUGUCUCUUUAUUAUAACACUUGCUGAUUUUCGAUGGAUUUGUUUUUACUAUAAAGCAUUUCAGUGGCUUAGCAGUUUAUUUUAUUGUCUUACACAGACCAGCUGUGUUGGGAAAUCAGAGGUCUGAAUUUGCAGCCUCCAGGAGAAAAGGAAUUUCAUAUUAAGUUUGCAUUGACCAGUAGCAGAAACAAAGCAAAAAUACAAGCAAUUUUAUCUUGGACAAUUGGGAACAUAAUUCAGUUGUGCAAACACAUUUACCACAUAAUGGAAUUUAUUAUAUACUGAAAAAAUAUGUCUUAUAAUAAAACAUUUCUAUCCCCUUGA